AUUCCCUGUUCUAAACCCUAGCCUCCCCUUCCUCUUCUACAUUAGUCAUCGCAGCCAUCGCUAAAUAAGAUUAAGAUCUCGAUCAACCAUUACAGACGCACACAUCAAAAACCCUAAAAGCUCCCACGUUCUUCUUCAAUAGCCUGACAAAGGAUUCCAAAAUCAAACCGAUUCACUUCCAGAGGAAGAUGGUGACGGUGGUGGUCACCUGAAGAGGGAAGACGACAACGACAUGGGUUGAUUUAGGGUUUCUCAAUCGGUGGUAUUGUGAUGGCUGUGGUUCUAGGCAAUGGUGAAAGGGCGGCGGCUAGGGUUCCACCAACACAUAAAUCUGACCGAUUUUGGUUUCGGUAGGUACUGGUAAGUCAUAGCCAAGUCCCUCCUCCGUUCCGCCUCCACCUCCGUCAGAGCAUCAGCUCCUAGAAUCUCCGACUGUACACGCUCCUUCCGCUCUCGAAAACCCCUUUCACAUCGCAUUUUCAGAUAACAACUGUUGAAGAGGCAAAAAAGUUCUAUCCACUAUUCGGGCUUGGAGCCAAUGUUACAUUAAUAUUCUCGGGUCGUACGGUGAAAUACGUCUCAAAUAUGUGAAAACAUCUGGGUCUGGGAGUUGAUGGAUGGAUUAUUUCUUUAAAAUACAUGAUGAGUAUUGUGGUGUUAAUGGGCCUAGCAAUUUGCAGUCUUUAUUGGUUGGUCAAUACAUUUGUUCCUCUUCCUACCCGUAG